rnacentral:tRNA from 1 species
UAUACUUUAGUAUAUGAUGUACAAAGAUUUUUGAUGUCUAAGGAAAUAGUUUAAUUCUAUUAAGUGUAA